rnacentral:rRNA from 1 species
UUCUCCUGGGAAACGGGUGGUAAUGCCGGAUGCUCCGACUCCUCGCAUGGGGUGUCGGGAAAGAUUUCAUCGGUAUGGGAUGGGGUCGCGUCCUAUCAGGUAGUCGGCGGGGUAACGGCCCACCGAGCCUACGACGGGUAGCCGGCCUGAGAGGGCGACCGGCCACAUUGGGACUGAGAUACGGCCCAGACUCCUACGGGAGGCAGCAGUGGGGAAUAUUGCACAAUGGGCGCAAGCCUGAUGCAGCGACGCCGCGUGCGGGAUGACGGCCUUCGGGUUGUAAACCGCUUUUGAUCGGGAGCAAGCCUUCGGGUGAGUGUACCUUUCGAAUAAGCACCGGCUAACUACGUGCCAGCAGCCGCGGUAAUACGUAGGGUGCAAGCGUUAUCCGGAAUUAUUGGGCGUAAAGGGCUCGUAGGCGGUUCGUCGCGUCCGGUGUGAAAGUCCAUCGCUUAACGGUGGAUCUGCGCCGGGUACGGGCGGGCUGGAGUGCGGUAGGGGAGACUGGAAUUCCCGGUGUAACGGUGGAAUGUGUAGAUAU